AUGGAUGCUGACUGGAAGAAGAAGUUCACUUGCCCGUUGGGGACCAACUACCAGAUCGUCUUCUGCCCACCGAUCGAUCUAAAUACUUCUUCUCCAAGCACGGGAUCAUCUUCGUCCAGCAGAGGCCGCAUUGGUCUGAUUCUAGGUACUGUGGUCGGUUUCAUCUUAAUUGCCGGAUUCCUCCUUUUUUUCGUGCAUAGACGAAGAACGCGACAGCACCGGGAGAUGGAGGAAGAGGAGGAAGAGUUUGGGAAGCUACAAGGAACACCAAUGAGGUUCACAUUUCAUCAGUUAGAAGUAGCAACCGAGCAAUUCAGGGACAAGCUUGGCGAAGGAGGAUUUGGUUCUGUGUUUGAGGGACAGCUUGGUGGGGAAAGGAUUGCAGUAAAACGUUUGGAUCAAGCAGGUCAAGGAAAGAAAGAAUUCUCAGCAGAGGUUCAGAGUAUCGGCAGCAUCCACCAUAUCAAUCUGGUGAAGCUAAUUGGUUUCUGCGUGGAGAAAUCACAUAGGCUAUUGGUAUACGAGUAUAUGCCCAAAGGAUCCUUGGAUAGAUGGAUCUAUUGUCAAGAUGAUAAUAUUGAUCCUCCCUUGGAUUGGAGCACGCGAUGCAAGAUUAUCACUCACAUAGCUAAGGGUCUCUCUUAUCUCCACGAGGAGUGCACGAAAAGAAUUGCUCAUUUAGAUAAACCACAAAAUAUUCUCUUAGAUGACAACUUCAAUGCCAAACUUUCUGAUUUUGGAUUAUGCAAGCUCAUUGAUAGGGAUAUGAGCCAAGUGGUUACUCGGAUGAGAGGCACACCUGGAUAUUUAGCUCCUGAAUGGUUGACAUCACAAAUCACAGAAAAGGCGGAUGUCUAUAGCUUCGGCAUUGUGGUAAUAGAAAUCAUCAACGGAAGAAAGAAUCUCGACCCUUCUCGGUCCGAAGAGAGCAUGCAUCUUAUUACCCUUUUGGAAAAAAAGGUGAAGCAUGAUAACUUGGUAGAUAUGAUUGACAAGACCAGUAAUGAUAUGCAAGCACGCGAGCAAGAUGUCAUUCAGAUGAUGAAGCUCGCGAUGUGGUGUUUACAAAUUGAUUGCAAAAGAAGGCCUAAAAUGUCCGAGGUAGUCAAGGUCUUGGAAGGUACCAUGAAUGCAGAGAGCAAUAUAGAUCAUAACUUUGUUGCAACGAAUCAAGGGAAUUUUCGCAUUGCUGACAAUGCGGCUUCUUCAGUUCCACCUCUAGCCUCACAUGUAUCAGGCCCCAGGUGA
rnacentral:rRNA from 1 species